UACGGAGGGUGCAAGCGUUGUUCGGAAUUACUGGGCGUAAAGCGCGUGUAGGCGGUUGAGCAAGUCAGAUGUGAAAUCCUUCCGCUUAACGGGAGAAGUGCAUUUGAUACUACUCGGCUGGAGUUCGGGAGAGGAGAGUGGAAUUCCCGGUGUAGAGGUGAAAUUCGUAGAUAUCGGGAGGAACACCGGUGGCGAAGGCGGCUCUCUGGCCCGGUACUGACGCUGAGACGCGAAAGCGUGGGUAGCAAACAGG
rnacentral:rRNA from 1 species